rnacentral:rRNA from 1 species
GGAUUCCCCUAGUAACUGCGAGUGAAGCGGGAAAAGCUCAAAUUUAAAAUCUGGUGGUCUUUGGCCAUCCGAGUUGUAAUCUGGAGAAGUGCUUUCCGCUCUGGACCGUGUACAAGUCUCUUGGAAUAGAGCGUCAUAGAGGGUGAGAAUCCCGUCUUUGACACGGACUACCAGUGCUUUGUGAUGUGCUUUCAAAGAGUCGAGUUGUUUGGGAAUGCAGCUCAAAAUGGGUGGUAAAUUCCAUCUAAAGCUAAAUAUUGGCGAGAGACCGAUAGCGAACAAGUACCGUGAGGGAAAGAUGAAAAGCACUUUGGAAAGAGAGUUAAACAGUACGUGAAAUUGCUGAAAGGGAAACACUUGAAGUCAGUCGCGUUGUUCAGAACUCAGCCUGGCUUUGGCUUGGUGCAUUUUCUGAAUGACGGGCCAGCAUCAAUUUUGACUGUUGGAUAAAGGCCAGAGAAAUGUGGCUCCUUUGGGAGUGUUAUAGUCUUUGGUUGCAUACAAUGGUUGGGAUUGAGGAACUCAGCAUGCCUUUAUGGUCGGGGUUCGCCCACGUUCAUGCUUAGGAUGCUGGCGUAAUGGCUUUAAAUGACCCGUCUUGAAACACGGACCAAGGAGUCUAACAUGCCUGCGAGUGUUUGGGUGGAAAACCCGAGCGCGCAAUGAAAGUGAAAGUUGGGAUCUCUGUCGUGGGGAGCACCGACGCCCGGACCAGACCUUCUGUGACGGAUCCGCGGUAGAGCAUGUAUGUUGGGACCCGAAAGAUGGUGAACUAUGCCUGAAUAGGGUGAAGCCAGAGGAAACUCUGGUGGAGGCUCGUAGCGAUUCUGACGUGCAAAUCGAUCGUCAAAUUUGGGUAUAGGGGCGAAAGACUAAUCGA